rnacentral:rRNA from 1 species
UACGUAGGGUGCGAGCGUUGUCCGGAAUUAUUGGGCGUAAAGGGCUCGUAGGCGGUUUUGUCGCGUCGGGAGUGAAACUCCACUGGCUUAACUGUGGCUUGCUUUCGAUACGGGGCAGGACUGGAGGUAUGCAGGGGGAGGAACGGAAUUCCUGGUGUAGCGGUGGAAAUGCGCAGAUAUCAGGAGGAACACCGGUGGCGAAGGCGGUCUCUGGGCAUGUCCUGACGCUGAGGAGCGAAAGUGUGGGGAGGCGAACAGG